UGCCUUCUGCCUACCUGUAUUUAUCAGCCAAAGUUCUGCAGCCCUUCUGUACAUCAAGUAGCAGUGAUUCAGGCAAGUAGUUUCACUGGCUUGAGUGUGGUUGUUCAGCUGAGUAAAUGGUGUGUGAUCUGAGUUCAAGGCAGUAGAUUUUGGGCAUGAGUGCUGUCUUUUUGUGGAGAAUGUGGGAAACUAAUUCCCAGAGCCUGUGAUCCUGGCAUGCCUUAAAUUCUCUCCUGUUCUUAUGCUUUGCCUCUGUCCAGUGGGUGGGCUGGAAGUGAGAUGGGAGGCUGGACUUCCCCCCCUUUCACAGUAAGCAGCUCUUCCAGAGAAAUUCCGCAGCUGUUUCAGAGUCUGUCCAGAGUUGCCUGCUUGCCUUCCUGAUGCUAUUUUCUACACAAAUAUAUUUGCUGCUGCUGCUGUGCUGGGCUCUGCGAAGACAGCAGAGAAGCCCUUAGAACCAAUGUAACUCUGUAGUAUGGUCUGUCAAACCAGGUGGCAUUAGAAGAAACCCUUGCAGCCCUCCCCAGCACCAGCUACUUGUGGUGCAUCUCCCCACAUCCUGAUCCUGGGUUGGCAUGGGCUGGUCCAGUCACAGCAGAGUUGACUCCUGCCUCAAAGGCACCUCUUGGUGCCGGUGGCCAAGCGCCAGCAGUGUGGGCUGAGGGACGCUGUGGAUGGUGAGAAAAGAUGCUGAAAUCUCUGGGAUGAGAUCACCUCCAGGGCUGGGGCUUGUGAAGGAGAGAGGAGGCCCAGCAGCUUCCAUCCUUAGAGCUGAAUAAUAGUCCUUCAGCCCUCAGGGGGUACUUCACCUCUUUCAGAUGCAAAUGACUUUGCCCUCCCCAUCUUCCUACUUCAGAAACUACCCCUUCAGAAUAACCUUCAGCUGUAAAUGAGUUUGUAAUUUGCCCCUUCCUGCUCCAAAUGCACAGAAACUGGGCAGUUACAGAGCUUAACUGCAGUUUGUGCUCUGCUGCUCGCAGGCUUGAUUAAGGUGAUGUUUCCUGGGACAUAGUGGAAUGUUGAGAUGCCACUAAUCAAAUGCACCAUAGUUUUCAUCUGGUUUUAUUUUAUUUCGUAUUUUAACUUCGUUUCCCCAGGAAACAAGUGCUGUCUGUUUCAUGCCUCUUGCGUUUGGCCAGUUCCAACCAGAUUGCACCAAUGGUUGGCAGUCUUGAAGAUCAUUAAUUUCCCACUUGUUUUUGUUCAGAUUAGUGGCUGGCUGGGCAAUCUUUGAAGCAAUGCUCUCUCUGAAGAAAAAGGAGGCUGCUUUCAGCUAGUCUCCAGUCUGCCUCAUAGCAGCUGCCCAGCCAGGCACUGCACAUGUGGUGGUGAUCAAACAGACAGCAGCUUCGUAGCCCUUGCCACCUCGCAAGGUGUGCGUAGUCCCCAGGGGAGAAGGUUUGGGCAAUAUCGGAGGGAGCUGCAGUGGAGGGGUAGGGGGGCAGAAGACACAGAUCUCUAUCAGACGGGGCCUGUUUGUUAUUCCUCCUUGUGGUGCUGUUACCCUUUUAUUUGUCAAGCCACUUGAGAUUUAGGAAGGCUGGCAGGCUGACUGGCAUGGCUUGGAGCUUCCUUUCCUUGACGUCCAGGACACCUUGGGCUGGAUGGAGAUGCUUGGGAGCCUGUUUUCUUCCUUUCGCCAUGGUAGAUCUGUUAACGUCAGUGACUACAGCUUGAAGUAGCUUGUCCAGGAUUAACAACUCUCAGUGGCACCUCUGGUAAUGUUUCAUUGCCAUGCAAAAGGAGGAAAGCACUUUGUCAGCAGCCUACUUCAGGCACAGAAAUUGAUAUCUGUGAGAACCAUAUGUACAGAGCAGCAAUUACUCAGAUCAUCAAUAUUUAUACAGCAGAUAAUAGUCAUCAUGGACAAGAUGAAUAUUGUCACAACAGCAGUAGCUGCUUGGGGGGGGGGGAAUGUAAAAAAUAAUUGCUGCUUUUUUUUUUAAACAGGGUAAUUAUUUAACUUUCAAGUAAUUGGUGAAGAUAGCUUGAAGUCUGAAUUAGAUGUUCAAUGGGAGUUCAUCUGCUUCUAGGAAGUAAAGGAAAUGCCCCUCCUCUCUACCCUCAUGUCACAUGGUGAAAACUGCCUGGGAUGUCAUCCUUUACUCUAGUGGCUUUUUCUGAAGGCAAUGCUGGUGCCAGUUGCUGAAUGAGGAAUCAUAAGCCAUAACAAACAAAUCAACCAACAAGAAUAAGCAGCUUUGUUUGCAAACAAAUUUUUGUUAAGUCUGAUGUGGAUGGACGUGCAUUUGUGUUGAGAUGGUGGUAUGGUUGCGCGUGCUUUGAUUUUAAAAGCCAUACCUCAGUGCCUGUGGAAGGUAGCCAUCCUUAGGAUGUGCUCUUUCCCAGAGCUUUCCAGCAUCCUACCCACUAGCUGAUGUGACACUGGUUGCCUUGGUGGUGCCUGGCUGGACAGGCAGCCCAGUGAGUCCCUGUCCUGGCUCCCACUUGGCAGAUGUCUGGAGGGACAGGGUUAUGGCUUCCUGUUUGUGCAGGAGAUGCAACUCCAGAUUUCUGCAAAGAGAACAACUCCUUCCACCCACCUUUUUUAACCUUUAUAUGUUGGUGUGAUUAUUUGGAGGCUUACCUUCACUGGCAAGAAAGUCUGCUGGGUUGCCCUGUUUUUGAGAAGUAUUGAAUUGAGAGCUACCUGUGUGUGAUCUGUUUGCUAUGGAACAAUUUACUUGCUGACUUUUGUCUUCUGCUCGUGAAAUGCCUCUGCAUAGUUCCAUUCUUUCUUUGUACUGACCUACUCUUCAGACAUGACUAUCUGAGUACUUGAACUCUUGCACGCCCCUGGACUUCUGUCACUUGAGGGAAAACAGUGGCUAGCAGCAUGCAGCACUUGAUGUUCAGAGUUUAGCUCAGUUGGGUUGGCUAUCAUUUACAAUCUCACAGCUCAAAGUUUUCAAAACACUGAAGCAACUCAAGAACAUUUUCAACUGAGUAAAUCCACAGAAGACCUAUGAAACUUCCAGGCACUGUAUUUUAUGGGAAAUUCUAUUCAGAUAAUGAGGCUUCUUGUGUGAUGCCAGGAGAAAAAUUGACCUAAGAGUGAAACUUUCAAAAGCCGACAUCCCAAAUGAUGGGCUGGCUACACAAGGAAGAAUCAAAAGGAAUUCUUUUAAGCUGGCAGCCCUCUUCCAGGAAAAUGUCAUAAACUGCUCCUUUUUAUUCUUUUCUGGAGUUACAUACCUUCUGCUGAGAUGUAAGCAGUGGAGAAGAUAGUGGCUUUUCUCUCCGAGUUAGGUCUGAUACUCAGCCUGAAGGAAGUGGAGACUCUGCUCCCACCUUUGUUUGGCAGCAUUUGAUCAGGGAUCUUUUUCUCUUCAGGUAAACCCAUUAGUUUGCGUGGAUUCUAGCCCUUCUCAAAAUAAAUUUUUAAUAUAAAAUAAUUAAACAUUCAUUGGAGCAGGGACAGGAACCCAGGUCUCUGCCUUUCCCUCAUACUUGCUUUUCCUUUGUGACCUCAAUAUUGAAUUGCACACUUCAAAGUGGAAUGGGGUCAGCGGAGGCAUUGGAAGAGCUCUGCUGAGCUAUUGAAAUUGCUGGUACUUAAAACUUUCAUCCGUGAGAAGGGGAAAGAGCAUCAUUUUGUCAGAUUCACCCAUAGUGAAUGAAAGUUUCCUUCUGCCAUGAGCAUACCCAGGUGCCUUUGAAUUGAAUCUGCCACUGGCAUGUGGCUUGGAGAAGUUUGACCCUGUUGCAUGCAGAUUAAUUUGGAUGGAAGCCUUGUCUGAAGCUAAAUUUAGGCCAUCUUAGAUCUUCAUAGUGCAGGUAAAGUUGAGACAUCCAGUAAUGGCAGCAUUAACAUUUCUGAUGCUUGUCUCCAGUGCAAAACUCUUAACAGAGAUGCUUUCUAAAUUGCAGACCACAGACCCAGUAUUGAAGCUAUGCAUUUUAAAACUUUUUUAAAAUAGUACCUCCAAUUUUUUUUUACUGAUGGUGAUGUAAUCUUUGCUCAGAAUUUAAGCUUGCAGUCAACAGACUUACUUUCUCAGUUACCUUAUCCAGGUCCCUUUGAGGCAGCCACUGUUGAGCCUGUGGGGGAACUAUCUGCAAAAGUGUUAAUUCAAACAUUUUCUUAUGCCUGAAGGUUCUGCCUUGAUGAAAGUAAGUACUAUACAGUUCUUUGAAGAGAUCACUGCAGUUCAUAAGCCAGCCCAUUAGGUAGGUGAGCUAGCCCUGUGAAAGAUCCAUGCUUGACACAUUCAUUGCUCAUUCAGUUAUAUUGCAGCAGAGAAUAGGCUUUUGUCAGAGCAAGGAGAAGAACAAGGGGCCAUUGAAGGGGGCAGGUAAUCAGCACUACUGAUGUUCCAGAUUAUUGAAUUGUGUUGAAAUAAUGAGUUUUUUCAUCAGCCUACAUUGUUUCUACCUAACUCUCUGAGUCUUUCUUCAUUGCAGUAACUUGCAAAGGGAUCUGGAGAUUAUGAGGCUGCUUCCCUUCACAUUUAACAGGGUACCAUGUUUUGGCUGUCUUGUGCCAUUGCAAAGUGCAGGCACACUUAUAUUCUAAUUUGAGGAUGAGAUGUUUGCAGUUUGAGGACAUGGGGUGCUUGCAGUAUCUGGAAACCAUGUUCCCCUCUAAUUCUAUUUCACUUCAGUGUCAAGCACUGGGGCACUGAUGUGAAGACUGUAGAUGAAGAUUUUUCUGUCGCACUGAUGCAUCCUAGCUAAAGCCUAAAGGGGUUUUGACAAAUAAGGGUUUAAAGAUGAGUCCUGUGUACUAGUUUUCUUUUAAACUAAAAAUGGGAAGAAUUGUGUGGUGAAGGAUGGAGUUGGCGAUAUGUUGGUAUGAAGCCUCAAGAAGCUUCUUGGAGCAGAAAAAUCAUUCCUCUUUACCUUUUAAGCAGUAAAAGGCUGAAUGUUUACCUCUUCAGUUGGUUUUACAGAUGUUUUGAAGACUUAUCCUACGUUACCUUCUGGAAGUUUUUCCUACAUCCUUAUUUUGUCAGAGUUCAUUGGUUUAUUUCAUGCAGGGGAAAAAACCCUGCCCAAAUCUCCUUUCACUUAAAAAUAGUGAAGGCUUCUUAGGUUUAGGAAUGCUAGCACCAUCUCUUAUGGGAACUGUAAUUAGCAUGCUUUGUUUUCCCAUUCUUCCCUUGGGGCUUGGCUUUAUGGCUGGUUUCCAUCUCUUGUUUUCAUGUUGAGUUGCUAUUGUGGUUAUGGGAGAUGUAAUCUAGCUAGGAAACCCAAUCCUUGUUGAAGAAUGGGAACAUGGGUCAUCCCAUAUGGAAGUACCUUGAGCUGCUAUAAGCAACACUUCAUCAUCCUGAAAACGAGUUGCCAACUUUCAGUAUUUAGUAGAAAGGCAGCACCUCUCUUAGUACAGGUGACAUAGCUGUUUGUUUCACUUUAUUCAUAAGGUGUUCCUCUUAAACCCCAA